GAAACAAAGGAAGAGUCCUCACAUGGUUUGUAAGUGGUAUCUUAGCUAACUCCCAACUUGUUCAUGAUCAGUAUAAUUGUGGCUAUUUUACAGGAAAUGUUUGUCUGUCUCUGAGCACAGCAACACUUGCUUAAUGCUACAGUACAAUGCAAAUACUUCCAAAAAUGGUUACGUGCCUCUCUCAACUGUUGAUGUGUUCCUUGUGUCCAUUCCAUGUCAGGUGUAUAUGCGCCCCACAUGCACUGGUGCCUAAAGCUUUUCCCCCAGUGGUAUCCAGAAUCGCCCAUGUAUGCGCUGGUAUAAGGGACACCGCUGUGCCCCUCCCCUCAUUUCCUUGCCAGAACUCCGACUCAGGGGAAGGAGAAUGCUCAUGUCCAUUCCAUGACCCAACACAUCUCAAAGAAAAAACAGGUUUUUCUUUAAGUGUUGUUCUUCGAGAUGUGUUGCUUAUAUCCAUUCCAAGUAGGUGCGUGCAUGCCGCAUGCACAAUCGUCAGAAAGUUUUUCCCUAGCAAUACUCAUCGGGUCGGCUGUGGAGCUCUGGCCCUGCUGACCCGCCGCCUCUUCAUUUCCUUCUUGCCGGAUUACGCCGACAGAGGGGAAGAGGAUGGGUCUUGGAAUGGACAUGAGCAACACAUCUCGAAGAACAAGAGUUACAAAAGGUAGAUAACAGUUUUUUCUUCUUUGCGUGAUUGCUCAUGUCAAUUCCAAGUAGGUGAUUCCAAGCAGUCCCCAGGAGGAGGGGCCAGAGUUCACAGAGUUGUAGACUGAAGCACUGCUCUACCAAACACAACAUCAUCUCUAGCCUGCUGGGUGAUGGCAUAGUGUGACAAAAAGAUGUCCUGACUGGGGACCUCUGCUAGGAAGCACGGCAGGAGUAACAGGAGGCACCAAUCUCAGUCCUCCUUCGGCCAGGGCUAGGGCUCAGCUAAGCAGCCUUCGAGCUCAAAGCCAAACUUUUGAAGGUGCACCCGAGGAUGGAGCACCAGUUCAAUGCCCGGAUCCUGCUCCUCCCUUUGUGAACCAUCUAUACCAUUUCUACCAUGCCUGGGCUCAAGUAACUUCAGACCACUGGGUCCUGAGCAUUGUAGAAUUGGGAUAUUCUCUCCAAUUCUGUUCCCUCCUUCUGUCCCACCCACCCUCCCUGUGUGCAGACCGAACCGGGACCAUAUAGACAGACUGGUCGUGGUCUCUCCUCAGGUUCUUGAGUCCCUCCAGUGGUAGCUCAAUCCACAAGCAGGUGGUGAUCUAGGAGAAAAUUCUCUGAGAUGACACUGGGAGACCCUUCAUCCUGUCAGCCACCACAAUGAAAAGUUGAGUAGACCUGCAGAAGGGCUUGGUUGGCUCAAAGUUGGCCAGGGCAUAUCUGAUGUUCAGAAUAUGCAAACGCAUCUCCUUGUUGGAAUUUUAUGGUUUUGGGAAGAACACUGGCAGGAAGAUACCCUGACUGACAUGGAACUGCGAUACCACCUUUGGCAUGAAGGCUGGGUUGGGGCACAGUUGGACUUUGUCCUUGUACAACACCGUAACAGAGGGAUUCUGAGGUCAGGGCCUUAAUCUUGGAGAUUCGUCUCACCAAAGUGAUGGCUACAAGGAGGGUGACCUUCCACAAAAGAUGUAAGAGAGCAGGAGGCAAGGGCCUCUAAGGGAGGACCAGUGAGCUUGGCAAGGACCAGGUUGAGAUCCCGUUAGGGAACCGGAUCAUGGACCUGCGGCAUUUAAGAGAUUCUUUAAACGCCUUGAAAGACUCUUUCUGCAGGUCCAUCAUCAUUGCUUGUAAGAAGACUGAUCUACCUUGGAUGUGAGAGUGGAAAGCCGAUAUGCCUGCCAGGUGCACCUUGACUGAUGAGUGUCAGACCUUGGUGCGUUAAAUGGAGCAGGUAUUCCAGAAUGGAUUGUAAAAAAAGACUUGAGCUGAAGAAAAGUUCCAUUCAGAUGCCCAGCAGGUGAAUUGUUUCUACUUAGCCAAGUUGCUCUGGUGGAGGGUUUUCUGUUUUGUUCCUCGAGGCUUAGCCAUACAGCAUCCAUGCUGUCAGGUUUAGUAGGGAGGCAAGGUUCGGGUCCCACGAGAGCAGAUCUGGGUGGUUGGCAAAUGUCCAAAGGGCUGCCGCCGCUAAAUCCAUGAGCAUGCCAAACCAAUGCUGGCAAAACCAUGCUGGGGCUAUCAUAAUGACUCACGGUUAGUCUGUCUUUAUCUUCAGGAGGACCUUGUUGAUGAGUGGGAUUGGUGGGAAGGUAUACAUCAGGUUGCCUGCCCAUGAUAGAAGAAAGGCAUUGGAUAGUGAACCGCUGUCGAGACCUGGCAGGGAACUUAACUGGUAGCAUUUUCUGUUUUGCCUGGUAGUCAAUGGGUCCAUUUGAGGAGUUCCCCACCUCUGGAAGAUGGUCCUGAUGACCUCUAGGUGGAGGGACCACUUACGGUGAGAGAAGAAGGACCUGCUAAGGCGAUCUGCCAGGGUGUUCCGGACCCCGGGGAAGCAAGGCUUCCAGAUAGAUAGUGUGUUGGAUACAGAAGUCUCACAGGCUAAGGGCUUCUGGGCAGAGGGCCAAUGACCACGCUCCCCCAUGUUUGCUGACAACGCUUGCACUACCUUGCCUGAGAGCUGGGGAAGGAAUAUUUCACAAGCCAGAUGGAUGGCCCUGAGCUCUCUGACCUUUAUAUUUAACAACAGCUCCUGUUGGCACCAUAAGCCUCGAGUCCUGAGGGACCAAGAUGGGCUCCCAACCCCAAGGCAUCUGACACCAGGGACCAUGGGGUUGCAAACGGAACUCCUCUGGUUACAUUGUGUGGGUUCAACCACCAUGCAAAGGAGGCCCAGCACUUGGCACGUGGCUUGGACUACAGACCUGUACUCUCAAGUGACCCUUGAUGAGCCAAUUGUCAAGGUAUGGGUAAAUUUGAACACCCUGAUGUCUGAGGUAGGCUGUGACCACUGCCAUACAUUUUGUAAACACUCUUGGGGCUGUUGCUAGGCCGAAUGGGAGCACUGUAAAUUGGCAGUGAGUCUGCCCGACGACGAAUCAUAGGAGCCUUCUGUUCCCAUGGAAAAUAGAAAUAUGGAAGUUCACAUUCUUUAAGUUGAGACGUACACGUCUCCAGGAUCCAGGGAGAGGAUGAUGGAGGCCAAAGAGACCAUGUGGAACUUCAACUUUUGAGAUAUUUGUUGAGGCCUUGCAGGGCCAAGAUUGGUUGUAGACCCCCUUUGGCCUUCAGUAUCAGAAAGCAGCAGGAGUAAAACCCUUUCCUUCUCAGUUCUUUUGAAAACUUCCUAUAUGGCCCCCCACCCACAACAGGGCAUGCACCUCCUGGGCGAGCAGUAACUCGUGAGAAGGGUCCCUGAAGAGGGACAGGGAAGGGUGGGGAGAAGAAGGGAUGGAAAAAAAUUGGAGGGUGUAUCUCACUGUUAUGGUGCUGAGCACUCACUCACUGAUCCAAUGUUAUAGUGGCCCAAGCAGGGAGGUAGGGAAAGAGACCAUUUGAAAAUAAAAGGGUGCUUGGAUCCUGGUUGUAGACUGGGAGGUCGCCCUUGGGGGCGACCUCAAAGUGUCUGCUUAUUUCCAGGUGUGUACUGGGUAGAGCCCGACUGGGUGAAUGUGGCCAGUGCUUCUUUCAGUAGGGCUCUGAUCUGGUCUGGCCUACAAAUCUCUGAGGCUGCUGGGGUUUAAAUCGCUUCCUUGCAGGCACAGGAGUAUAAAGGCCCAGGGAGUGUAAUGUAACCCUAAGGUCUUUCAGACCAUGCAACCAUCUGUUUAGGAAACACAUUCAAUCCAUAAAAAAGGGAGAUCCUGAAUGGACUGCUGGACCUCCGUGGAAAGGCCUGAGGACUGCAGCCAUGAUACCCAUCUUGUUGAAAUGGCCAACACCAUCGUUCUGGCUGCGGAGUUGGCUGCGUCAGAGGCCUCCUGGAGGGAAGCCCUCACCUCAGUCUUACCCUCUUUAUGUAUGGCCAGAAACUCCUGCCUGGAUUCCUGUGGCAGUGAGUCUGCAAACUUCGCCAUGGAUUGCCACACAUUGAAAUCAUACCUCCUGUGCCGGGCUUGGUGGUUUGCGACACGCAAGUGGAGGCUGGCAGUUGAAUAAACUUCUCUGCGGAAAAGA